CCUACGGGAGGCAGCAGUGAGGAAUAUUGGUCAAUGGGCGUAAGACUGAACCAGCCAAGUAGCGUGAAGGAUGACGGCCCUAUGGGUUGUAAACUUCUUUUAUACGGGAAUAAAAUGCAGUACGUGUAAUGCUUUGUAUGUACCGCAUGAAUAAGGACCGGCUAAUUCCGUGCCAGCAGCCGCGGUAAUACGGAGGAUCCGGGCGUUAUCCGGAUUUAUUGGGUUUAAAGGGAGCGGAGGCGGGAUGUUAAGCUUGGCGUGAAAGUCUGUGGCUCAACCAUGGAACUGCGGUUGAUACUGGCGUGCUUGAGUGCGCGAGAGGUAGGCGGAAUUCGUGGUGGAGCGGUGAAAUGCUUAGAUAUCACGAAGAACUCCGAUUGCGAAGGCAGCAUACUGCAGCGUAACUGACGCUGAAGCUCGAAGGUGUGGGUAUCGAACAGGAUUAGAUACCCGUGUAGUC
rnacentral:rRNA from 1 species